GCCUGGGUGGCUCAGUUGGUUAAGCGUCUGACUUUGGCUCAGGUCAUGAGCUUAGAGUUCGUGGGUUCGAACUCCACAUGGGGCU
rfam:Felis catus isolate Cinnamon breed Abyssinian chromosome B1, whole genome shotgun sequence.